AAUGCUGCUGGUUUCACUGCUGGAGAUUGAAAUGGGGGAAGGACUACGGGUCUCCAAGUCAGUUGGACCAGGACUGGUUGCGUUAUUAUCCUUUGUACCAUCAUCACUAUGAGAGUCCUGCAAACAAAAGGAGCUCUGGUCCUCAGUUGCUUCACGAAGUCGGGAGCAUGUUGCCGCUGGUGGUCAUACAGUGUUACUAGUGGAGCUCCUGAAGCAGUGACAGCAUCUGAGAUAUGAGUUCGAGUUAACUCUGCCAUCUAAAUAUGAACACAAACAAAGCAAAAGCAGAUGUAAAAAAGAUAAUAUCACAGAAGAACUGAGAGGGAACAUAGUGUUUUGGAAAGAUCACUGGAUUGAAAGCAAGCAAAUUCUGCAAUAAUAGGUAAAAUAUUGUGGAUAGCAAAGAGAAGAGGAAAAACACAGAAAGCUAAAGAAGAAAACUCCACGAAUACCUUUAUGAUCUGAGCCAGAGACACACUCUCCUGCUGAGCAAGCGAAAUGCCUCUAACUCUUUCUAC